rnacentral:rRNA from 1 species
GUUGAAAAACCAUGGGAUGAGCUGUGGAUAGCGGAGAAAUUCCAAUCGAACUCGGAGAUAGCUGGUUCUCCUCGAAAUAGCUUUAGGGCUAGCGUCGUGUAAUUGAGUAAUGGAGGUAGAGCACUGAAUGGGCUAGGGGCUAUAGUAGUUACCGAACCCUAUCAAACUCCGAAUGCCAUAUACUUGUAUCACGGCAGUCAGACUGCGAAUGAUAAGAUCCGUAGUCAAAAGGGAAACAGCCCAGACCAUCAGCUAAGGUCCCAAAGUGUAAGUUAAGUGGAAAAGGAUGUGGGAUUUCUAAGACAACUAGGAUGUUGGCUUAGAAGCAGCCACUCAUUUAAAGAGUGCGUAAUAGCUCACUAGUCAAGAGAUCCUGCGCCGAAGAUGUCCGGGGCUCAAACUUACCACCGAAGCUAUGGGUGUACACUAUGUGUACGCGGUAGAGGAGCUUUCUGUAUGGGUUGAAGUCGUACCGUAAGGAGCGGUGGACUGUACAGAAGUGAGAAUGCUGGCAUAAGUAGCGAGAAAUAAGUGAGAAUCUUAUUGGCCGAAAACCUAAGGUUUCCUGAGGAAGGUUCGUCCGCUCAGGGUUAGUCGGGACCUAAGCCGAGGCCGAAAGGCGUAGGUGAUGGACAAUCGGUUGAUAUUCCGAUACCACCUAUUUACGUUUGAGAAAUGGGGUGACGCAGUAGGAUAAGAUGUGCGCACUAUUGGAUGUGCGUCUAAGCACUUAGGCAUGCUUGAUAGGCAAAUCCGUCGAGCUAAGCUGAGGUGUGAUGGGGAGCCAUUUAUGGCGAAGUAUCUGAUUCCACACUGCCAAGAAAAGCCUCUAUCGAGUGAAUAGGUGCCCGUACCGCAAACCGACACAGGUAGGUGAGGAGAGAAUCCUAAGGCCAUCGGAAGAAUUGCUGUUAAGGAACUCGGCAAAUUGACCCCGUAACUUCGGGAGAAGGGGUGCCUACGAAAGUAGGCCGCAGAGAAUAGGCCCAAGCAACUGUUUAGCAAAAACACAGGUCUCUGCUAAAGCGAAAGCUGAUGUAUAGGGGCUGACGCCUGCCCGGUGCUGGAAGGUUAAGGGGAACACUUAGCGUAAGCGAAGGUGUGAACUUAAGCCCCAGUAAACGGCGGCCGUAACUAUAACGGUCCUAAGGUAGCGAAAUUCCUUGUCGGGUAAGUUCCGACCCGCACGAAUGGCGUAAUGAUUUGGGCACUGUCUCAACAGCAAAUCCGGCGAAAUUGUAGUGCAAGUGAAGAUGCUUGCUACCCGCGAUUGGACGGAAAGACCCCGUAGAGCUUUACUGUAGCUUAGCAUUGAAUCUCGGUAUUGUCUGUACAGGAUAGGUGGGAGACUUGGAAACUUGGGCGUCAGCCUGAGUGGAGUCAUCCUUGGGAUACCACCCUGACAGUACUGGGGUUCUAACCGGCGGCCAUGAAUCUGGUCACGGGACAUUGUUAGGUGGGCAGUUUGACUGGGGCGGUCGCCUCCUAAAAAGUAACGGAGGCGCCCAAAAGUUCCCUCAGCGCGGUCGGAAAUCGCGCGAAGAGUGCAAAGGCAGAAGGGAGCUUGACUGCGACACAUACAGGUGGAGCAGGGACGAAAGUCGGGCUUAGUGAUCCGGUGGUACCUCGUGGGAGGGCCAUCGCUCAACGGAUAAAAGCUACCUCGGGGAUAACAGGCUGAUCUCCCCCAAGAGUCCACAUCGACGGGGAGGUUUGGCACCUCGAUGUC